rnacentral:rRNA from 1 species
UACGGGGGGGGGCAAGCGUUGUUCGGAAUUACUGGGCGUAAAGGGCUCGUAGGCGGCCCUCUCAGUCGGAUGUGAAAUCCCCAGGCUCAACUUGGGAACUGCAUCCGAUACUGGAUGGCUUGAAUUCGGGAGAGGGAUGCAGAAUUCCAGGUGUAGCGGUGAAAUGCGUAGAUAUCUGGAGGAAUACCGGUGGCGAAGGCGGCAUCCUGGACCGACAUUGACGCUGAGGAGCGAAAGCUAGGGGAGCAAACGGGG